GAGCGUCAUAGAGGGUGAGAAUCCCGUCUUUGACACGGACUACCAGUGCUUUGUGAUGCGCUCUCAAAGAGUCGAGUUGUUUGGGAAUGCAGCUCUAAAUGGGUGGUAAAUUCCAUCUAAAGCUAAAUAUUGGCGAGAGACCGAUAGCGAACAAGUACCGUGAGGGAAAGAUGAAAAGAACUUUGGAAAGAGAGUUAAACAGUACGUGAAAUUGUUGAAAGGGAAACGCUUGAAGUCAGUCGCGUUAGCUAGGAAUCAGCCUUGCUUUUGCUUGGUGUACUUCCUGGUUGACGGGUCAGCAUCAAUUUUGACCGGUGGAAAAAGGCCAGUUGAAUGUGGCACCUUCGGGUGUGUUAUAGCUUCUGGUCGUAUACAUCGGUUGGGAUUGAGGAACUCAGCACGCCGCAAGGUCGGGGUUCGCCCACGUUCGUGCUUAGGAUGCUGGCAUAAUGGCUUUAAUCGACCCGUCUUGAAACACGGACCAAGGAGUCUAACAUGCCUGCGAGUGUUUGGGUGGAAAACCCGAGCGCGUAAUGAAAGUGAAAGUUGAGAUCCCUGUCGUGGGGAGCAUCGACGCCCGGACCAGACCUUCUGUGACGGAUCCGCGGUAGAGC
rnacentral:rRNA from 1 species